rnacentral:lncRNA from 10 species
UAUCGCUAUGCUUUAUCACGUGCUGUAUGUAAUUGUCUGUCUCUCUUCACCAGACUGGGUGCAGCUGGAGGGAAGGGACUUACCCUCAUUGUCCCAUAGGACAUACCACCAGAACUCUACCUUCCAAUAAAAGAUGUGAGGACGCUUGACUGGGCUGUUAGAAAGGUGGCAUGCUGGAUUGUUACAUAAAUUUCCUUCACAAAGCAACUUGAGAGGACGUUGAAUAUCAGUUUCCAUCACAUGGUUCAGCAGGGAUGUUAGUUUGUCCAUGGGGUAGAACUAAGGUGACCUUCUGUCAAGG